rnacentral:rRNA from 1 species
AUUGAACGCUGGCGGCAGGCCUAACACAUGCAAGUCGAGCGGUAGAGAGAAGCUUGCUUCUCUUGAGAGCGGCGGACGGGUGAGUAAUGCCUAGGAAUCUGCCUGGUAGUGGGGGAUAACGUUCGGAAACGGACGCUAAUACCGCAUACGUCCUACGGGAGAAAGCUGGGGACCUUCGGGCCUUGCGCUAUCAGAUGAGCCUAGGUCGGAUUAGCUAGUUGGUGAGGUAACGGCUCACCAAGGCGACGAUCCGUAACUGGUCUGAGAGGAUGAUCAGUCACACUGGAACUGGGACACGGUCCAGACUCCUACGGGAGGCAGCAGUGGGGAAUAUUGGACAAUGGGCGAAAGCCUGAUCCAGCCAUGCCGCGUGUGUGAAGAAGGUCUUCGGAUUGUAAAGCACUUUAAGUUGGGAGGAAGGGUUGUAGAUUAAUACUCUGCAAUUUUGACGUUACCGACAGAAUAAGCACCGGCUAACUCUGUGCCAGCCGCCGCCGUAA